UGAACGCUGGCGGCGUGCCUACUACAUGCACAUCGAGCGACCAGACGAGGAGCUUGCUCCUCUGACGUUAGCGGCGGACGGGUGAGUAACACGUGGAUAACCUACCUAUAAGACUGGGAUAACUUCGGGAAACCGGAGCUAAUACCGGAUAAUAUAUUGAACCGCAUGGUUCAAUAGUGAAAGACGGUUUUGCUGUCACUUAUAGAUGGAUCCGCGCCGCAUUAGCUAGUUGGUAAGGUAACGGCUUACCAAGGCAACGAUGCGUAGCCGACCUGAGAGGGUGAUCGGCCACACUGGAACUGAGACACGGUCCAGACUCCUACGGGAGGCAGCAGUAGGGAAUCUUCCGCAAUGGGCGAAAGCCUGACGGAGCAACGCCGCGUGAGUGAUGAAGGUCUUCGGAUCGUAAAACUCUGUUAUUAGGGAAGAACAAAUGUGUAAGUAACUAUGCACGUCUUGACGGUACCUAAUCAGAAAGCCACGGCUAACUACGUG
rnacentral:rRNA from 1 species